rnacentral:rRNA from 1 species
GAAUAUUGCGCAAUGGGCGAAAGCCUGACGCAGCGACGCCGCGUGUGGGAUGACGGCCUUCGGGUUGUAAACCACUGUCGGGAGGGACGAAUGCGCCGCAAGGCGAGUGACGGUACCUCCAAAGGAAGCACCGGCCAACUCCGUGCCAGCAGCCGCGGUAACACGGAGGGUGCGAGCGUUGUCCGGAAUCACUGGGCGUAAAGGGCGCGUAGGCGGCCUGGUAAGUAGGGGGUGAAAUCCUGCGGCUUAACCGCAGAGCUGCCUUCUAAACUGUCAGGCUCGAGCACGGUAGAGGCAGAUGGAAUUCCCGGUGUAGCGGUGGAAUGCGUAGAGAUCGGGAAGAACAUCAGUGGCGAAGGCGGUCUGCUGGGCCGUUGCUGACGCUGAGGCGCGACAGCGUGGGGAGCAAACAG